rnacentral:rRNA from 1 species
AUUGAACGCUGGCGGCAGGCCUAACACAUGCAAGUCGAGCGGAGCGGCGGACGGGUGAGUAAUGCCUAGGAAUCUGCCUGGUAGUGGGGGAUAACGUCCGGAAACGGGCGCUAAUACCGCAUACUAGUAGAUGGACCUGCGUUGUAUUAGCUAGUAGGUAGGGUAACGGCUCACCUAGGCGACGAUCCCUAGCUGGUCUGAGAGGAUGACCAGCCACACUGGAACUGAGACACGGUCCAGACUCCUACGGGAGGCAGCAGUGGGGAAUAUUGCACAAUGGGCGCAAGCCGGAUGCAGCCAUGCCGCGUGUAUGAAGAAGGCCUUCGGGUUGUAAAGUACUUUCAGCGAGGAGGCGUUACUCGCAGAAGAAGCACCGGCUAACUCCGUGCCAGCAGCCGCGGUAAUUC